rnacentral:lncRNA from 10 species
UUGGGUCCACUCUGCUUUUAUGAGCUGUAACACUCACCGCGAAGGUCUGCAGCUUCACUCCUGAAGCCAGUGAGACCACGAGCCCACCUGGAGGAAGGAACAACUCCAGAGGCCCUGCCUUAAGAGCUGUAACACUCACCGCGAAGGUCUGCAGCUUCACUCCUGAAGCCAGCGAGACCACGAGCCCACCUGGAGGAACAAACAACUCCAGAGGCGCCGCCUUAAGAGCUGUAACACUCACCGCGAAGGUCUGCAGCUUCACUCCUGAGCCAGCGAGACCACGAACCCACCAGAAGGAAGAAACUCCGAAAACAUCUUAACAUCAGAAGGAACAAAUUCCAGACGCGCCAUCUUAAGAGCUGUAACACUCACCGCGAGGGGCGUGGCUUCAUGCUUGAAGUCAGUGAGACCAAGAACCCACCAAUUCUGGACACAUUAUGACCUUUGUUUCCUGCCAUGGAAGAAAAUUUAAAUUCCCAGGCUGAAGAAGCAAAUUAGGCCUCUCAAGCAGAAACCAACAGCUUUGGAGACCAGAAGCCCCAAAUCAAGCUAUCAGCAGGGAAGUACUACCUCUGGAAGAUGCAAUGAAGAAUGCUUUUUUCCCUCUUCUGGCUUCUGGCGGCUCUGUAUUACUUGGCUUCCUUGGCUUGUGGCUACAUCACUCCAAUCUCUGUCUCAGUCUUCACAUUGCCUUUUCCUCUAUGUGGGUAUCUUUUGUUACAUCUUCUGCCACUUAUAAGAACAUUUUAGAUUUAGGGCCUACCAGGUAAUUCAGGAUGUUCUGAUCUCAAGAUCUUUAAUUAUAUCUGCAUAUAUAUUUUUUCAAAUAAGGCUUUCAGGUUCACUGAUGCUAGAGAUUCAGAUGUGGACCUGCCUUGUUGGGGGCUAUGGAUAAAACCACUAGAGUUUAUAGAGCUAUGGAGGAUAAUUUAAAAUAAUAUUGAAUGCCAAAUUUUACCCUCACUUACUCAUUUAUCAUUGAUUCCAUCAAUCUCUCAGCAAAUACAAUAGAAUAUCCACUACGUAUGUUCCAAUCCUCAAGAUAGGCACUGGUGAAAUACAAAAGAACAGGCAAAAAUUAAUGUCUCUAUAAAGCUCAUAAGUUGAUUACCUAAAAAGCGUAUAAUUUAUAAAAUAUUUAUUUUGCUUCUUGAAAACCGGAAGGAGUUUAUAGGAAUGAAUGCAGGAGGAAAUGACACCUGAGUUGAGCAGUAAGAGUGUAUCACAAACUCAUGAAAAAUUUCAUAGAUGUCUCAGAAGAAGCAGUGAAAAAUAUUGGUUCUGAGAAGCAAUCAUCAGCCAGUCUCAGAGAGAGGAGAACAAGAUUAAACCAAGUGGCCAAGCUGCCCAUGUGGAUAGGUACAAUGAGCAAGAAAUAAACCUUUGUUGUUUGAUGUCAGUGAG